CGAGCGGACUGUGCAGUCGCGGCGUACCUUUGAGUACGAUGAGGAAAGUCCGGGCAUCGUAGGGCAGGACGCCUGAUAACGUCAGGUGGGGGCGACCCUAAGGAAAGUGCAACAGAAAAUAACCGCCUCUUUUGAGGUAAGGGUGAAAAGGCGAGGUAAGAGCUCACCGACGAAGCGGUAACGCUUCGUGCCGUGUAAACCCCGUUCGAUGCAAGUUUGGGCUGUGUUCAUAUAGGAUUGCCCGUCCGAACGCAGCCGCCAAUAACGCUUGACCUUGUCGGCGACGGCAAGGCUAGAUAAAUGACUGCAUUCAACAGAACCCGGCUUAUAGGUCCGACUCGGUAA
rnacentral:RNase_P_RNA from 1 species